rnacentral:lncRNA from 1 species
AGAGCCACUGCACUCUAGCUUGGGCAACAGAGCAAGACCCUGUCUCAAAACACACACAUGUACACACACACAGAAAGUGCCGGGGGAAAUAAUAUGGUUGUGCUGUGUUUGUUCUGGUGGGUCUUACUGUGUUUCUAUGAGAAAGGCUGAUGAGCAAUUUUCAGAAUUUGAGGCAAAACUGGUUCUUCCUGUUUCAUCCUAUUUGUAUUUUUAUUAUCCCAAUUUUGCAGGUAAGGAGACCAAAGCAGAAAGAUCAGUAACCCUCCUGGAGUCUCACAAUUAAUAUGAAUCAGAGCAGGAUCUUCAACUCCUCAACUUGUGUUUUUAACUGGCACAUCUUCCUGCCUGGGUGCAGCAGGUGGGAAAUCCAUCAUGGAAAGGAAAGAACAGACAUGAGAGUCAUUCCAUUCUCUUCCAGUUCAAAUCUUUUUUUGUGAAAAAAAUGGUAGUUGUGACCCAUGAAUUAAUUUCACGGCCCACUAAUUGGUUACAACCCACAGGAUGAUAGAACAUAGGUACUAAAAUGAGGGCUGGGGCAUGGGUGAGGUAUUUCCUCUCCUUCCAAAAUGACUUAAUUUUAUCCAUUUAAAAUAAAAUUUGCAUUUACCAGAAUAGUGGCAAAAAUUUAUUGUGCAGAAUAGAAUAAUUGAUUUAUUACAUGAAUGAUUAGUUCAAGAGUCAUCUGUUGAGCAUCUGCACUGGAUUAGGCCCAGAGAUGCAUGAAUGAAUAAAAAGAUAAUGCCUCUCUUGAGGUGCAUAUAAUCUAAGGUGGAAAGAAAACCAUAAAGAGGCAUUUUCAAUACAGUGUGGUAAGGGCUAAGGGAGGGAAUGUGUGUGUGAUGACAGCGCAGAGCAGGACCACCAAACCCAGGUCAUGAGAGUUUCCUAAAGGUGGUUACAUCUCAGAAUAGUCUGUCGAGGAGUAGGUGUUAGGAGAAGACAGGGUGGGGUUGGGAAGGUGGAAGUGGAGGACAGAGCAUCCAGGUAGGGCCAUCUUGCAGACAUGACAUUCCAUGCCAUGCUCAGGACAUGUUAGCUGCUUCAGUACUGUGAGUGUCAGGUGGGAGCUGUGGCAUGGUAGGAGGUAAGCCUGGGGAAGAAGGUGAGGAUGAGACUCUGGAGAGUCUCAUAGGCCUUGCUGAGGUCUUUGGACUUUUUCUCUAGGUGAUAGGGGGCAAUUGAAUGUUGAAAAUUGUUUUCUUAUUUUUUUUCCUGGGGCAUUAGCAAUUGAUCACUGCACCCUCACCAGCCUUUAAUGUUUUCCUAAUUUGAUAGGUGAACAAUGGCCUAGCAUUGUGUUAAUUUGCAUUUCCCUGACUACUGGUGCAGUUAGACAUUUUUUUUUCAGGUGUUUAUUAGCUAUUUGUACAUAUUCAUGCCCUUUGCCCAUUUUUCUACUGGGAUUUUAGUAUUCUUAUUGACUUAUAUGAGCUCUUUAUAUAUUAAAUAUAACAACCCUUUGUCAUAUUUAUUGCAUAUAUUUUCACCCAGCUUUGUCAUUUGCUUUUUAGUUUUGUUUACAAUGGUUUCUGAUGUCCAGAAGUUUCAAAUUUUGUGUAGUCAAAUUUAUUGAUUUUCUUUUUGUUAGUUAUUCCUUCCAUUGCUUUUAUACUUUCUUAUCUAGAGAUCAAAUAAAUAUUGAGAGCUGGAGCUAUGGAACAAAAGGCACAUAAUAAUAUUCACAUGUUAGGUGUAGUGGCAGAAAAAAACAACAGGGUAGAAAAAACCCAAACCUUCCUUUAUCCACCCCAAAUCCACCCCAAUCCACCCAAAUCCUGUGGGAACAGUCACAGGUCAAAGAAAUAGACAAGAAUGGUGAGGAGAGGAAGGGAACACCUUGAAGGACGAGUAGGAGCUGGUCAGGCAUACAGGGUGUGUGGGAGUAGCACAGAAAGGAAGCUGCAUGUCCCAAGGUAGAGGAUGAAGAGACAAGCAUGUCUGAGUGCGGGGGAUGCAGGGCAGAGAAAAGCCACACAAUUUCUGCUCUCAUGAGAUUGUAGUCUGGUGAGGAAAGACAUACAUUAAACAAAAUGUUGCUUAAAUAAAUGUAAAAUGAAAACUUUAAAAGUGUUGUAAGAAAAUAAUUUGAAUCUUAUGAGAGAUUAUAAGGGAAACUGAUCUAUCUAGAUGUCAAGGAAGGCUUCCAGUAAGAGGAUCUUUGAUAUACUAUCUGGAGGAUAAGUAGGAGUCCAGAGGUGAAGAAGUGGAUGUAUGAGAAACUGUACAUGUAAAGGCCCUUUGGCAGAAGGACAAGAACUGAGACCAGGCCAGUGUGACUGAAGAGCAGAGCAGACAGGGAAGAAGGCCAGGUGAAAAUGGGGGAGGGACUGAAUCAUGCCAGACAUUGCAGGCCAUGUGAAGGACUUUGGUCUUUCUCUGAAGAGUGAUGAGAACCCAUUCAAAUGGUUUAUUCAGAUCUGGUGGGUUUUGAUUAGAGGUGGAGACAUAAUCAGAUUUGUAUUUUGAGAAGAUCCUUUUGCCUUCUACGUGGAGAACCAAUAGGAGGAGGCUGGAGCAGAUAGGAGCUGCCUGAUGCUGCUGCAGCAGUCUAGCCAGAGACUCAAGCUGACUUCUUUCAACUUCCCCAGGGUACCUAGUGCACAAACCUGGCAUACAUCGCUCUCCUCCAAGACCCAGCCUGGGAGAGCCUACCUCUUGAGAGCUGUCUCAAGCUGAAGGUACCAACAUGAUGCCAUUGAACAUGGGACGUGAUGUGCAUAAUCAGCUCUUGGGAACCUUCAGGUGUGGGCUACAGCACCUCACUGGACCGCUGGGUUCCUAGUAGAGUGGAGGAAGUGUUCACUUAGCCACAACUUUGCUUCACCCUGGAGGCCAACUGAGGCAUGUUAGUAUACCCUCUCCCUGUAGUUCUGGAGUGAGGACAUUGGAAAGCUAAACAGUGGUGCUUGAUUCAAGGUGCUUGAUCUAAUUUCUGUGGCCUUUGUCUGAAGAGGGAGGAAUAAGAACGUGUCAACCUGGAAUUCCCAGACUGGCUGAUUGGGUCACAUUUGGAAAGCUGCUGUGUGCACAUCUGAUUAUCCUGCACCUAGGACUAUGAUUCAUUUCUUCUUUCUCAGAACGUGUAUCAGUUUGUUAUAUUGAUUAGCCUGAUUGUCUGAAUAGUGUCUUUCUGUGUCAAAUCUAUGAAAGUUUGAACCCUAUAUGCUUUUGCUGAAUACUGUAUUUCCAAUACCUAGUAAUUAUACCUAGACUGACACAUAGUGGGAAUUUUUUUCUUCAAGUUUAAGUGAAAAUUUAUUUAUUUUUUUAAAUCUCCAAAA